AAGGCUUAAGAGGAGGGGUGAGAAAAAGUCGCAUAAAAGGCGAGAGAAAAGUUGACAGGGAUCAGUCGAGCGAGUAUCUUCGACAAGGGAACAGCUGUAGUGUACUAUUUGCCGUCAGCUGCAUUCUUCAUCGUACUAUCAGUUCUCAAUCAUGGUCGUACAUAAUGGCAAGGAUUAGGCGAAAGAAAUCAGUCGAGUGAACAUCUCCGGCACGGUAACAGCAACUGCAGUGCACCAUUUGUCACCAACUGCAUUCUUCGUCGAAUUGCUAGUCAAAUCAUGGCAAACUAUGGCGUCGUGCUGCAGUUGUGUGUUGCAUCGUUGAUGGCUGGAUCGGCCACUGGUGUACCGAUGUCUCCUGGGUAUGGCGGCUAACAAAUCGAAACGCCGCCACCUUACUACACAAGAUACGGCUCGACCAGUUGCUACACCGAGGCCCCCAAGUACUGCACCAAGGCUCCAGAUUAUUAUCCUACUACUUAUGCUGCCCUGAGCUACUACACCGAAUCCCCACAGUAUUAUUCUUCCCCGAGCUACAAUACCAAAGGGUCGAUUACUACACCGAUGCUCCGAAGUACUACACCACCAAGACACCGGAGUACUGCACAACUACAUACAAUGAGAAAAGGCGAAAGAAAACCGUCGAGUGGUCAUCUCCGACACGGCAACAGUAACUGCAGUGCCAAGGCUCAGUAUUACACCACAAAUUAUGUUGCCCCGAGACUCUACCCCAAAGCGCCUGAGUGCUAUACCGAGGGCACUAAUUUCUACACCACCAAGGCACCGGAGUACUACACUGCAACAUACCCUGCUCCAGAUUAUUACAACGAGGCUCCCCAACACUACACCACCAAGGCACUGGAGUACUACACCACUACAUAUCAUGUAGAGGAAAGGUGAAAGAAUUCAGCAGCCGAGUGAGCAUCUCCGUUACAGCAACAGGAACUACCGUGCAGUAUUUGAUCAACUUCAUCCUUCUUCGCAUUACAAGUUUUAAAUAAAGUAAACUAUGGCGUCGUGCUGCUGUUGGGCGUUAUAUCGUUGAUGGAUGGAUCGACCACUGGUGUGCUGAUUUCUCCUGGGUAUGGCGGGCGUGAAUAAUCCGUAGCAACCGGUUACUACACUGGGGCCCCCAAAUACUACACCACCAAGGCUCCAGAGUAUUACACCACAACUUAUGCUGCCCCAAUGUUACUACGCAGAUGCUCCGAAGUAUUUUUCUUCCUCGAGCUUCACUACCUUCACCACGCCGCUUACUAAUUAACAACGUCAACACCUACUUACUAUACGAAGGUCUCCAGUACUACGCCACAAAAGCUCCUGACUACUACACCGAGGACCUAACUUGUCACACCACUGAAGCGCCCAAGUAUUGCACUACAACCUACGUUUCUCCAGCUUACACCACGAUGGCAGCGGAGUACUACACCACGAUGGCAGCGGAGUACUACACCACGAUGGCAGCGGAGUACUACACCACGAUGGCAGCGGAGUACUACACCACGAUGGCAGCGUGGUGAUGAGUCAGAGUGGUGAUGAUUCUUCAGUAUCCUGCGCUGUGACAUGUCUGUUUCAUAUUUUGGAGGUGACUAUUGCCUUAGUCGAUCUGCAUACGGACAUGUUCUUGUGUUUUGACGAUGUUACAAGGGUAGGUUACGAAAGGAAGUUGUAACUGUUGAUUUGGGUAAGUCUUAUAAGUAAAAGGCAAGUGGAUGAAUUUUGUAUAAAUGAAAGAAUUUGAAGUUGAGAAAAAUAUAUUGGAACAAUUCCUAAA